AGGGAGUGUACCUGACACAGGCACCAGAGUCAGCAUUUUUUCAAAUGUUUUUCUUCUAGGGGUCUGGGGCCCGGGUUGCAGGCAGCUGUGCUGGCUCUCAGGCAGGAGGGAGGUUACAAAACCCACGAGGCCAGGGUCAUGGAGUUCCUGAGACCUGAAGGUCAAGCCCUAAAGUUUCAAUACUAGUGGAAUUCCCACCAGUCUCAGCAGUCAUCUGUGACUUUGGUGUGAGGUGGGUUCCUUGAUGCCUGCAGGCUUCAAUCACUUGGCUAUUGCAACAGUAUCAGGGGAAUCCGCCGGUGCCCUGCGGGGACUCGCAGCAGCCGCCGCCGCCACGGCACACCUCCUGUUGCUGGACUGA
rnacentral:lncRNA from 1 species